rnacentral:rRNA from 1 species
AUUGAACGCUGGCGGCAGGCCUAACACAUGCAAGUCGAACGAGUGGCGGACGGGUGAGUAAUGUCUGGGAAACUGCCUGACGGAGGGGGACAACUAAGGGAAAAGGUAGAUAAUACCGCAUACAAUCGAAUGUGCCGAGAUGGGAUUAUCUAGUAGGUGGGGUAAAGUAUCACAUAGGCGACGAUCCCGAGCUGGUCUGAGAGGAUGACCAGCCACACUGGAACGGAGACACGGUCCAGACUCCUACGGGAGGCAGCAGGGGGGAAUAUUGCACAAUGGGCGCAAGCCUGAUGCAGCCAUGCCGCGUGUAUGAAGAAGGCCUUCGGGUUGUAAAGUACUUUCAGCGGGGAGGCGUUACCCGCAGAAGAAGCACCGGCUAACUCCGUGCCAGCAGCCGCGGUAAUUC